AAGGCCGUGUCCAGGGCUGCGCCCAGGUCCCUACUCUGCCCGGGGCGGGUUUGCGGGCCAAGCUGGGUGAUGGGCUCCUGCCCCCUCCGCCCCCUACCUGCUCCCUGUGCCAGGGGAGAAACCAAGGCCCAGAGUUCACCCGGGGGCGGUGAGAUUCCAGACUGAGGAGGGGGCACUCGCCCCCGUUCGUCGUCCCACCCCCACCAGACUCCGUAGGGUGCCAGGGACGGGGAGAGAGCGAUCCCCCGCCCAAGGCCCCGCUGCCCCUUACUGUUUUGGGCGCUGUGCCUGGGAGGCUGAGGCACCCCGCGCCCUCGCCCGCGCCCAGCUGGUCUACUCUCGGGGCUGGGGCGUCGGCGCGGCCCCGGCCGCACCUGGAAAGGAAGGGGUCUUGGGAAUCUCUGGAGCAGCGUGGGGACCCUACUCCUUGUGGAAGCAGCGAUUCAGUGUGUGUUAACAGUGUGGAUGCCGGUCCCGCUCCCCCUCUGGGUGGCGGGGGUGGGGGUAGCAGGAAGGGGUCUUGAGCAACCAUGUUGUUUGUUAACUUAAACGUUUGUGCGGCGCUGUGUACCGGUCGCUGUGGACGCGAUCUCUGGUGCUGAGGGGAUUUGAGGGUUCCUCACACUGGCGGGAUUUGGAGCCUCUACCCUGGUGGCAGUGGGUUUAGUGGGUUACCCUGGUGGCUAGUGGUUAAGUGCUAAGGCUGCUAGCCAAAAGGUUGGCAGUUUGAAUCCACCAGGCGCUCCUUGGAAACUCUGUGGGGCAGUUCUACUCUGUCCUAUAGGGUCGCUAUGAGUCAGAAUUGACUCGAUGGCCACAGGUGUGGUUUUUUUUUUUUUUUUAGGUUGGAGAUUAGGUGUCUCUCGGGCUGACAUUUGAAGGUCUGGAGCUGGCCGUUUAUGAGGGUUUAUAAGGGUUUUAAGUGCUCCGGCCAUGGGCACCAACCCGAUCUUCCAGCCCCUGCGGACGGACCGCCUCCCCCGCCCCGGGGGGAUUGGCUGCUCUGGGACCCCGAGCCCAGAGGGCGGUGAGAAGCUGACAAACCUUAAAUACAGACCAGAAGAGGAGUUUGGGGCUUGACACCUGACGUCUUAACACCAGUUCCUGUUUCUUGAGGAAGGAAGAGGUAAAAUAAAUCAGCGUUUACUGUGUCCUUCUCCAUCCCCGGAAGUCUUCAUGAAGACCCUCUCAGCUUCUACUUGAACGUGAAUAUGAGCAACUGAUCAUCUGUUCUGCGGUCAGCCCCUGGCCUGAUUCUGACUCAUGAUAUUGACCUUCUCCAUCAUCACCUUCCACAAAUUUGAUUCCUAUCUAUUCUGCCUGGAAUAGUUCAUGAGUAUAGUCACCAUUUAUGUUCCUGACGAAAGACAUUAUGCUCAUUCUCAGGGCCCUGAGACCUCAUCUGCAGCAGGUGAAGGCAUUCGUGGAGAGAGGCGGUUUCCGUGCGUGCAGGCAAAGUGUGUGCUGAGAUGAGUCGCUGGAGACUGGGGUGGACUCCUCAGACCCAGGAUAGGCCUCUGGCAGGCAUUCUAUCAGGCAUUCCAAGCUGUGAAGUGCCUGGGAGGAGAAGGAAGAGAUUUCAGAGAAUGAACACAUACAGAGAGACAGGCAAGAGACGGUGAGUGGGGAUGUCUUGCCUACUGAUAUCCUCAGGAAAGUGGGAAAAUUGGACCCUGGCCUGCUAUGACAAUGCCCUGAAGCAGUCCGCACCAGGGGCUCCCUUGUGCCUGCAUAGCCUUUCCCAGGGUGUGCUCAAAUCCUGUGGCCACUAGGUGUCCUGGGUCACAAUGGAGGGCCCUGUGUCAUCUGCCUGUUGGGCUGGAUCUCUGCCAUUGGCUGAGUCUUGUCACCAGGCCCAUCAUAAGCUCUGCCCACUCUUCCUGUGGGGGGACUGUCUCCAUGGUGAUGGCAAAGAAGCCUGAGUUCCGCCCACCUGGCCUUGACUUCACCUACCUGGCCUGCUGACCCUCACUCAGACCUCUGUGUUGAUCAAAAUGAGUGUCCGCCAGUGGCCAGGUGUCAGCAUCUGGGAUAAAGGAUUGGGGACCUUGCCUGGGGCAGAAGGCAGCCUAGGUCUGUGGGUACCUGGAAGUCUUGUGACUUCUGCCGCUGCUGCCAGUGACAGAUGGUGACUCCCACACUCACAUAUCCCCUGGUGGCAGAAGGAUAGUGAUGGGCGGAGAAACAUGGCUCCGGAGCACACUUUAAAUGCGGCACCAGCCAAAGGCCAGGGCAAGGAGUGGACGUCGUGGAGCUUAAUUGCAAGCCAGUGAAGGGCCCAAGGAUUUCUCCUAUAUGUGGCAAACAGGUCAUCCGUGUCCCCACGUCCAUAAACCACUGGACUGCAGUGCCAGACUGCCAGGAUUUCGGCCUUGCCAUUGGAGCCCGUCCACAUACGCUGCGUUGCACCGGAGGCGGGGACAUGUAGACAGCAAAAAUUUGGAAAAUGGCAUCAUCUCUUCAAUUUCCCUAGCAUUGGCCUUUUUCAGUGGCAUGCUUUGUUUCCUAGUAGGAUAAGGCACUGACGGAGAAAGGCAGGAGUAUGUGUGUAGGAAAGGUGUGUGCCGAAAGGGUGACGACGUUGAGACCACGUUGGGAUCUUUAGUCCCAGGAAAGGCCCCUGGCAGGUGUGGGUCAAUGUUCUCUGCUCAUCCGAGUUGGCGGGGGAGGUUUUCACCAAACAAAGCAGCACUGGAAUUAUUCGUAGCCUGAGAGGUUGCAUCUGCCCACAAGCUCCACCUGGCCAGGGUCCGCCCCUACUGUAUUGCCCAUGUCAAUCAACAGAAGCUAAGACCUUCCAGAGAGACUACCUGCUAUUGUCUACCCACCGGGAAGCGGUCCAGCCAGAAGCCUCCCCCGUUUCAUCUCCAGGCUCUCUGUCAGGCCCCUCAUACUUGUGAUGUGUCUCAGGGGUAGAAGGAAGAGAUUUCUCUGAAUGAACACAUCCAGAGAGGAGCCAUAGAUGCUGAGGAAGGGCGCCUUGUCUACUGAUAUCCUAGCGUAAGUGUAAAAGAGGUACCUGCCUGCUGUCCCAGUGUGUCGAACGUGUCCACAUCAGGGGUUGGCUACUGUAAAAUUAUUCCCUGGUGCCCUCGAUUUUGUGGCCAAAGACACGAGGGGCCGUUGUGUGUCCAUGGGUACAAUGGAGGGCUCUGCGGAACGGGCUGGUUAGGCUGGACUUCUCCUAUUGGCUCAGUGUUUGUGACUCGUCCCCGUCAGAAGUUCCGCCCAGCCUUCUGGUGGCUGUCUCCAUGAGGAUUGGGAAAGAAGCCCUAGGCCCCGCACUCGGCCUUCACCUGGCCUACCUGGCCUCUUUACCCUCAUCUAGACCGCUCUGUGCAUGAAAGAAAGGAUGUCGGCCACUGACCAAGCAUCCUCAUUUCCUUGGAAGUAUUAGGCUCCUUGCGUGGGCAGAAGACAGCCAAGGUCAGCCUGAGCCUAGACACCUAGUGACCUGUGACACUGCAGCCAGCGAUAGAUGUUGAUGUCCACGCUCAGGUAUCCGCAGUUGACGGAUUCAGAGUGGUCAGAGGAGAAGUGUAACUAGAGAUCACACACUCAUGAGGGCACGGGCCAAAGGUCAGGGAAAAUAGCUGAGGUCGUGGAGCUCUAGCGGAGCCAGUCAAGGGCCCAGGCCUCCCUCCUGUACGUGGCAAAGAGGUGUCACCUUCCGCAGAGUAUGCUGCCACCCGCAGACUCUGGACUGCUGGGGCCCUGGAUGCCCGGAUUUCGGCCUUGUGUUUGGAGAAGUGACGUGCAUGCAGUGUGCCACCGGGGGCUGUGGCCCAGCAGAAGCAAAAUCUUGAAAAUGGGAGCUUCAGUUGACUUUGCGUGUUCUCUCCCUUGGCUGAGUGCCAUCCUGUGUUUCCUAGCAGGAGAAGGCAUUCGUGGAGAAAGGCAGAUUCCAUGUGUGCAGGCAAAGUGUGUGCUGACAUGAUGAGACCCUGGAGACCAGGGUGGACUCUUCAGACCCAGGACAGGCCUCUGGCAGCUUAAAUACAGACCAGAAGAGGAGUUUGGGGCUUGACACCUGACGUCUUAACACCAGUUCCUGUUUCUUGAGGAAGGAAGAGGUAAAAUAAAUCAGCGUUUACUGUGUCCUUCUCCAUCCCCGGAAGUCUUCAUGAAGACCCUCUCAGCUUCUACUUGAACGUGAAUAUGAGCAACUGAUCAUCUGUUCUGCGGUCAGCCCCUGGCCUGAUUCUGACUCAUGAUAUUGACCUUCUCCAUCAUCACCUUCCACAAAUUUGAUUCCUAUCUAUUCUGCCUGGAAUAGUUCAUGAGUAUAGUCACCAUUUAUGUUCCUGACGAAAGACAUUAUGCUCAUUCUCAGGGCCCUGAGACCUCAUCUGCAGCAGGUGAAGGCAUUCGUGGAGAGAGGCGGUUUCCGUGCGUGCAGGCAAAGUGUGUGCUGAGAUGAGUCGCUGGAGACUGGGGUGGACUCCUCAGACCCAGGAUAGGCCUCUGGCAGGCAUUCUAUCAGGCAUUCCAAGCUGUGAAGUGCCUGGGAGGAGAAGGAAGAGAUUUCAGAGAAUGAACACAUACAGAGAGACAGGCAAGAGACGGUGAGUGGGGAUGUCUUGCCUACUGAUAUCCUCAGGAAAGUGGGAAAAUUGGACCCUGGCCUGCUAUGACAAUGCCCUGAAGCAGUCCGCACCAGGGGCUCCCUUGUGCCUGCAUAGCCUUUCCCAGGGUGUGCUCAAAUCCUGUGGCCACUAGGUGUCCUGGGUCACAAUGGAGGGCCCUGUGUCAUCUGCCUGUUGGGCUGGAUCUCUGCCAUUGGCUGAGUCUUGUCACCAGGCCCAUCAUAAGCUCUGCCCACUCUUCCUGUGGGGGGACUGUCUCCAUGGUGAUGGCAAAGAAGCCUGAGUUCCGCCCACCUGGCCUUGACUUCACCUACCUGGCCUGCUGACCCUCACUCAGACCUCUGUGUUGAUCAAAAUGAGUGUCCGCCAGUGGCCAGGUGUCAGCAUCUGGGAUAAAGGAUUGGGGACCUUGCCUGGGGCAGAAGGCAGCCUAGGUCUGUGGGUACCUGGAAGUCUUGUGACUUCUGCCGCUGCUGCCAGUGACAGAUGGUGACUCCCACACUCACAUAUCCCCUGGUGGCAGAAGGAUAGUGAUGGGCGGAGAAACAUGGCUCCGGAGCACACUUUAAAUGCGGCACCAGCCAAAGGCCAGGGCAAGGAGUGGACGUCGUGGAGCUUAAUUGCAAGCCAGUGAAGGGCCCAAGGAUUUCUCCUAUAUGUGGCAAACAGGUCAUCCGUGUCCCCACGUCCAUAAACCACUGGACUGCAGUGCCAGACUGCCAGGAUUUCGGCCUUGCCAUUGGAGCCCGUCCACAUACGCUGCGUUGCACCGGAGGCGGGGACAUGUAGACAGCAAAAAUUUGGAAAAUGGCAUCAUCUCUUCAAUUUCCCUAGCAUUGGCCUUUUUCAGUGGCAUGCUUUGUUUCCUAGUAGGAUAAGGCACUGACGGAGAAAGGCAGGAGUAUGUGUGUAGGAAAGGUGUGUGCCGAAAGGGUGACGACGUUGAGACCACGUUGGGAUCUUUAGUCCCAGGAAAGGCCCCUGGCAGGUGUGGGUCAAUGUUCUCUGCUCAUCCGAGUUGGCGGGGGAGGUUUUCACCAAACAAAGCAGCAGUGGAAUUAUUCGUAGCCUGAGAGGUUGCAUCUGCCCACAAGCUCCACCUGGCCAGGGUCCGCCCCUACUGUAUUGCCCAUGUCAAUCAACAGAAGCUAAGACCUUCCAGAGAGACUACCUGCUAUUGUCUACCCACCGGGAAGCGGUCCAGCCAGAAGCCUCCCCCGUUUCAUCUCCAGGCUCUCUGUCAGGCCCCUCAUACUUGUGAUGUGUCUCAGGGGUAGAAGGAAGAGAUUUCUCUGAAUGAACACAUCCAGAGAGGAGCCAUAGAUGCUGAGGAAGGGCGCCUUGUCUACUGAUAUCCUAGCGUAAGUGUAAAAGAGGUACCUGCCUGCUGUCCCAGUGUGUCGAACGUGUCCACAUCAGGGGUUGGCUACUGUAAAAUUAUUCCCUGGUGCCCUCGAUUUUGUGGCCAAAGACACGAGGGGCCGUUGUGUGUCCAUGGGUACAAUGGAGGGCUCUGCGGAACGGGCUGGUUAGGCUGGACUUCUCCUAUUGGCUCAGUGUUUGUGACUCGUCCCCGUCAGAAGUUCCGCCCAGCCUUCUGGUGGCUGUCUCCAUGAGGAUUGGGAAAGAAGCCCUAGGCCCCGCACUCGGCCUUCACCUGGCCUACCUGGCCUCUUUACCCUCAUCUAGACCGCUCUGUGCAUGAAAGAAAGGAUGUCGGCCACUGACCAAGCAUCCUCAUUUCCUUGGAAGUAUUAGGCUCCUUGCGUGGGCAGAAGACAGCCAAGGUCAGCCUGAGCCUAGACACCUAGUGACCUGUGACACUGCAGCCAGCGAUAGAUGUUGAUGUCCACGCUCAGGUAUCCGCAGUUGACGGAUUCAGAGUGGUCAGAGGAGAAGUGUAACUAGAGAUCACACACUCAUGA